rnacentral:rRNA from 1 species
CAAACGACUCUCGGCAACGGAUAUCUCGGCUCACGCAUCGAUGAAAAACGUAGCAAAAUGCGAUACUUGGGGUGAAUUGCAGAAUCCCGUGAACCAUCGAGUUUUUGAACGCAAGUUGCGCCCGAAGCCUUUUGGGCGAGGGCACGUCUGCCUGGGCGUCACGC